UACGUAGGGGGCAAGCGUUGUCCGGAUUUAUUGGGUUUAAAGGGCGCGUAGGCGGCCUUGUAAGUCAGUGGUGAAAUACUCCAGCUUAACUGGAGGGGUGCCAAUGAUACUGCAGGGCUUGAGUACAGAUGAGGUAGGCGGAAUUGACGGUGUAGCGGUGAAAUGCAUAGAUAUCGUCAAGAACACCGAUAGCGAAGGCAGCUUACUGGGCUGUAACUGACGCUGAGGCACGAAAGCUAGGGGAGCAAACGGG
rnacentral:rRNA from 1 species